CGAAUGGCGGUGUUGAUAUCAGUUCGUACCUCUCAUCUUCUCGCUGCCUGUGUCUGAGAUAAAUACAGUAUUUGAACUUAAUCCUUCAGGUUUUGUUUUGUUUUUCUUUUGUUUUUGCUUCGAGGGUCAUCAUGUCUGGGUGCGGCAACGCCAAUUGCAAGUGUGGUCCAUCUUGCACUUGCACCACCUGCUCGUGUGGAAAUAAAAUGGCCGAACCUGUUUUUGGUGGAUUUCGCAACUACAAUACUGAGAAUGGGUGCAAGUGCGGGCCGGAUUGCAAGUGCGACACCUGCGACUGCGACUGUCAUAAGUAAAUGAGAUCGAUCCGGCAUGUCCUAACGCUGGACCCCUCAUGAGAGGAUUAGAUUCUCUUGGGCUUUGUACAUAAAUGGGCAAGUAAAUGGUGCAUUUGUGGCUUUGAGUGUUGAGGAGUGUUGUGGAUGUCUUAGUUGUAAAAUCUUAUGACAUCAAAGUAUUGAAACGAGCUUUUGAACAAAUUUGUGUUUCGUUUACUUAACUUUGUGAAUAAAUAAGAGUUGAAGAUUUUUUCGUAGCUUAA